UUAGUGGCGGACGGGUGAGUAACGCGUGGAAAACCUGCCGUAUACUGGGGGAUAACACUUAGAAAUAGGUGCUAAUACCGCAUAAGCGCACAGCUUCGCAUGAAGCGGUGUGAAAAACUCUGGUGGUAUACGAUGGUUCCGCGUCUGAUUAGCUAGUUGGUGGGGUAAUGGCCUACCAAGGCAACGAUCAGUAGCCGGCCUGAGAGGGUGAACGGCCACAUUGGGACUGAGCACGGCCCAAACUCCUACGGGAGGCAGCAG
rnacentral:rRNA from 1 species